rnacentral:miRNA from 1 species
CUGUGUGUGAUCAGGAAGCACGAACCCCUCAGCCCUUGGUAUCCUUGGGAAGCACGAAAAGGAGGGAGAGCCUAGGCUUGUCUCUGCUGGGCUUUCUCCU